UACGAAGGGGGCUAGCGUUGCUCGGAAUCACUGGGCGUAAAGGGUGCGUAGGCCGGUCUUUAAGUCAGGGGUGAAAUCCUGGAGCUCAACUCCAGAACUGCCUUUGAUACUGAGGAUCUUGAGUUCGGGAGAGGUGAGUGGAACUGCGAGUGUAGAGGUGAAAUUCGUAGAUAUUCGCAAGAACACCAGUGGCGAAGGCGGCUCACUGGCCCGGAACUGACGCUGAGACGCGAAAGCGUGGGGAGCAAACAGGA
rnacentral:rRNA from 1 species